UAGACUUGCAUAGGAAAUUGAAGAUGCACUUCUGAAGAGGGAUAAAUAAACUGGAGCUACCAGAAGAGGCAAUGUCGGCCUCGGCAGUGGUGAGGAGAGCGUCGAGGUUGAGGAGGAACUCGGAGAUCCAAACACGGGAGCUGCGUUUGAGGAGGUCGAAGCAGAAGUUCUUGAUGCGGGAGUGCUUGGGGUCGGUGGUGUCGAGGUAGACUCCGACGCGAGUGCCUCCGGUGAAGUUGGGAGAGGGGCAGUAGGGGCCGAUGAGGACGUCACUUUUGUCAAUGAGGGUGUUGUCAAAGAGGGUGGAAAAGGAGGAGCAGUCGAGGACAGCGACUACGCGAGGGUUGACGCCGAAGAAGGUUGGAGGUAUGUUGGUGCGGAAGACGGUGCUUUUGUAGGCGAUCGAUCGUGCCUUGAAGAAUGUCUCAGGGCCUUGGAACCAGAAGUAGUCGAGGCGGUCCUUGAGAGGGCCGACGAUGGGGAGGCCGUAGGUACCCGGCAUGGGCUUCGUCGGGAGCGUCGGAGUCGCCGUCACCGAGCAUGACACUGGGA
rnacentral:misc_RNA from 1 species